rnacentral:rRNA from 1 species
GGGUUGUGAGGUUAAGCGACUAAGCGUACACGGUGGAUGCCCUGGCAGUCAGAGGCGAUGAAGGACGUGCUAAUCUGCGAAAAGCGUCGGUAAGGUGAUAUGAACCGUUACAGCCGGCGAUGUCCGAAUGGGGAAACCCAGUGCAAUUCGUUGCACUAUCGUUAACUGAAUACAUAGGUUAACGAGGCGAACCGGGGGAACUGAAACAUCUAAGUACCCCGAGGAAAAGAAAUCAACCGAGAUUCCCCCAGUAGCGGCGAGCGAACGGGGAGCAGCCCAGAGUCUGAAUCAGCUUGUGUGUUAGUGGAACGGUCUGGAAAGUCCGACGGUACAGGGUGAUAGUCCCGUACACCAAAAUGCACAGGCUGUGAACUCGAAGAGUAGGGCGGGACACGUGGUAUCCUGUCUGAAUAUGGGGGGACCAUCCUCCAAGGCUAAAUACUCCUGACUGACCGAUAGUGAACCAGUACCGUGAGGGAAAGGCGAAAAGAACCCCGGCGAGGGGAGUGAAAAAGAACCUGAAACCGUGUACGUACAAGCAGUGGGAGCACCUUCGGGUGUGACUGCGUACCUUUUGUAUAAUGGGUCAGCGACUUAUAUUCUGUAGCAAGGUUAACCGUAUAGGGGAGCCGCAGGGAAACCGAGUCUUAACUGGGCGUUAAGUUGCAGGGUAUAGACCCGAAACCCGGUGAUCUAGCCAUGGGCAGGUUGAAGGUUGGGUAACACUAACUGGAGGACCGAACCGACUAAUGUUGAAAAAUUAGCGGAUGACUUGUGGCUGGGGGUGAAAGGCCAAUCAAACCGGGAGAUAGCUGGUUCUCCCCGAAAGCUAUUUAGGUAGCGCCUCGUGAAUUCAUCUUCGGGGGUAGAGCACUGUUUCGGCUAGGGGGUCAUCCCGACUUACCAACCCGAUGCAAACUACGAAUACCGAAGAAUGUUAUCACGGGAGACACACGGCGGGUGCUAACGUCCGUCGUGAAGAGGGAAACAACCCAGACCGCCAGCUAAGGUCCCAAAGUCAUGGUUAAGUGGGAAACGAUGUGGGAAGGCACAGACAGCCAGGAUGUUGGCUUAGAAGCAGCCAUCAUUUAAAGAAAGCGUAAUAGCUCACUGGUCGAGUCGGCCUGCGCGGAAGAUGUAACGGGGCUAAACCAUGCACCGAAGCUGCGGCAGCGACACUAUGUGUUGUUGGGUAGGGGAGCGUUCUGUAAGCCUGCGAAGGUGACCUGUGAGGGUUGCUGGAGGUAUCAGAAGUGCGAAUGCUGACAUAAGUAACGAUAAAGCGGGUGAAAAGCCCGCUCGCCGGAAGACCAAGGGUUCCUGUCCAACGUUAAUCGGGGCAGGGUGAGUCGACCCCUAAGGCGAGGCCGAAAGGCGUAGUCGAUGGGAAACAGGUUAAUAUUCCUGUACUUGGUGUUACUGCGAAGGGGGGACGGAGAAGGCUAUGUUAGCCGGGCGACGGUUGUCCCGGUUUAAGCAUGUAGGCUGGUUAUCCAGGCAAAUCCGGAUAAUCAAGGCUGAGGUGUGAUGACGAGGCACUACGGUGCUGAAGUAACAAAUGCCCUGCUUCCAGGAAAAGCCUCUAAGCAUCAGGUAACAUCAAAUCGUACCCCAAACCGACACAGGUGGUCAGGUAGAGAAUACCAAGGCGCUUGAGAGAACUCGGGUGAAGGAACUAGGCAAAAUGGUGCCGUAACUUCGGGAGAAGGCACGCUGGUGUGUAGGUGAAGUCCCUGCGGAUGGAGCUGAGACCAGUCGAAGAUACCAGCUGGCUGCAACUGUUUAUUAAAAACACAGCACUGUGCAAACACGAAAGUGGACGUAUACGGUGUGACGCCUGCCCGGUGCCGGAAGGUUAAUUGAUGGGGUUAUCCGUAAGGAGAAGCUCUUGAUCGAAGCCCCGGUAAACGGCGGCCGUAACUAUAACGGUCCUAAGGUAGCGAAAUUCCUUGUCGGGUAAGUUCCGACCUGCACGAAUGGCGUAAUGAUGGCCAGGCUGUCUCCACCCGAGACUCAGUGAAAUUGAACUCGCUGUGAAGAUGCAGUGUACCCGCGGCAAGACGGAAAGACCCCGUGAACCUUUAUAGCUUGACACUGAACAUUGAGCCUUGAUGUGUAGGAUAGGUGGGAGGCUUUGAAGCGUGGACGCCAGUCUGCGUGGAGCCAACCUUGAAAUACCACCCUUUAAUGUUUGAUGUUCUAACGUUGGCCCCUUACCGGGGUUGCGGACAGUGUCUGGUGGGUAGUUUGACUGGGGCGGUCUCCUCCCAAAGCGUAACGGAGGAGCACGAAGGUUAGCUAAUCCUGGUCGGACAUCAGGAGGUUAGUGCAAUGGCAUAAGCUAGCUUGACUGCGAGCGUGACGGCGCGAGCAGGUGCGAAAGCAGGUCAUAGUGAUCCGGUGGUUCUGAAUGGAAGGGCCAUCGCUCAACGGAUAAAAGGUACUCCGGGGAUAACAGGCUGAUACCGCCCAAGAGUUCAUAUCGACGGCGGUGUUUGGCACCUCGAUGUCGGCUCAUCACAUCCUGGGGCUGAAGUAGGUCCCAAGGGUAUGGCUGUUCGCCAUUUAAAGUGGUACGCGAGCUGGGUUUAGAACGUCGUGAGACAGUUCGGUCCCUAUCUGCCGUGGGCGCUGGAGAAUUGAGGGGGGCUGCUCCUAGUACGAGAGGACCGGAGUGGACGCAUCACUGGUGUUCGGGUUGUCAUGCCAAUGGCACUGCCCGGUAGCUAAAUGCGGAAGAGAUAAGUGCUGAAAGCAUCUAAGCACGAAACUUGCCCCGAGAUGAGUUCUCCCUGAGACUUUAAGUCUCCUGAAGGAACGUUAAAGACGAUGACGUUGAUAGGCCGGGUGUGUAAGCGCAGCGAUGCGUUGAGCUAACC